UGGGGAAUUUUGCACAAUGGGGGAAACCCUGAUGCAGCGACGCCGCGUGAUUUAGAAGGCCUUCGGGUUGUAAAAAUCUUUUCUAUGGGAAGAAAAUGACAGUACCAUAGGAAUAAGGACCGGCUAAUUACGUGCCAGCAGCCGCGGUAAUACGUAAGGUCCGAGCGUUGUCCGGAAUCAUUGGGCGUAAAGGGUACGUAGGCGGGUAAGCAAGUUAGAAGUGAAAUCCUAUAGCUCAACUAUAGUAAGCUUUUAAAACUGCUCAUCUUGAGGUAUGGAAGGGAAAGUGGAAUUCCUAGUGUAGCGGUGAAAUGCGCAGAUAUUAGGAGGAAUACCGGUGGCGAAGGCGACUUUCUGGCCAUAACCUGACGCUGAGGUACGAAAGCGUGGGUAGCAAACCGG
rnacentral:rRNA from 1 species